UACAGAGGUCUCAAGCGUUGUUCGGAUUCAUUGGGCGUAAAGGGUGCGUAGGUGGCGGGGUAAGUCAGGUGUGAAAUUUCGGAGCUUAACUCCGAAACUGCAUUUGAUACUGCCUUGCUUGAGGACUGGAGAGGAGACUGGAAUUCACGGUGUAGCAGUGAAAUGCGUAGAUAUCGGGAGGAACACCAGUGGCGAAGGCGGGCACCUGGGCUAACACUGACGCUGAGGCGCGAAAGCUAGGGGGAGCAAACAGG
rnacentral:rRNA from 1 species